UUAGUAUGCUUUCUGUAGUUUAGAUUGUACGUCAAGUAUGAUGUGUUUGUUUACUUCUUAAUUUCUUGAUCAAUCUUUCUAUACUUACACUGUGGCUAAGUUAAGAAAUUUCAGACAAAAUAACUGCAUGUAUUCCAAUUCAGCGAAGUUAGAACUGACAGACAAAAUAACUGCUUUCUAUAGUUUAGAUUGCAUGUACGUCAAGUAUGAUGUGUUUGUUUACUCCUUAAUUUCUUGUUCAAUCUUACUAUACUUACACUGUGGCCAAGUUGAGACAUUUCAGACACGAUAACUGCAUGUACUCCAAUUCAGCGAAGUUAUAAUCGCAAAAUGAACCGAAGACUUUUCCAUAUUUUGCUGUUUGUAACCCUGAAGUGAUUUUUUUGGUAGGCAUCAGCUACUGAUGCAAGCUGCGACUCUCUGGUUACAACUCCUCAGCAUUCAGAGAUGCUAAUAAUCCUGAUGGACUCCUCUCCAUAGCGGAGGAGACCUUGGCAGAGUUCCUUUCUAAGGCUACAGGAACUGCUGUCGAUUGGGUCCAGAUGCCUAGAAUGAAGCCUGGUCAGGAUUCGGUUGGGAUAUAUCUUUGCUAUUUCAUAAAGUUGCAGUGGAGUGGAAGCUCGAGCCAGUGGUCUCGUAAGUUUAGAGCCUACGACCGCAAGUAUUGCGGAGAUCCUUAAAGAUCGUCCAUCUUGGUUCCGGAACUGUCGGAGCCUCGAAGUUUUUACAUGUUUGCUGCUGGAAAUGGAGGGACUAUAGAACUCAUAUAUACACAGGUGCACAAAAAUCGUUGAAUGUUUUCUGGAAUAAAUAAAUAACAUUUUAACUUCUCCAGACAUAUGCUCCGACUACACUGGCUCCUGCAAGGGAUUUUUGGACCCUAAGAUACACUACUAGUUUAGACAAUGGCAGUUUUGUGGUAUGUGAGAGAUCUCUUUCUGGUUCUGGCGCUGGCCCCAAUGGAGCUUCUGCUGCCCAGUUUGUUAGAGCAGAAAUGCUUCCUAGCGGUGAUGGAAGCAAUUGCGAUGGCAUUGGUUGUUGGCUAGGAAUUCAUCUAGACAUUUCUUAGGUUGGAGAUCUAUUCCUUGUGUUUCAAGUUCUGCUUAAUUUACAAGUUGAGGCUUCAGCAGUGAUUGUGGAUUUGGCUUUUGCCAAGGAUCAGAAUUUUCAGGAGGUUCUUAUAGAGACUGAUUCCAGCUCUGUUUAUACUGCUGCUGUGGAUUUGACUCAUAUAUACCCCCUCAUCGGAAAUUCUACCCUCUUGUUCAAAGAAUUAGAAGUCUGAGCAAAGGUUUCAGGUAAUUAAUGUAAUUUGGAGCUAGAUCAAAAGGAGUGCUAACAGUCGGUAAAUAUAUGGUUUAAUUGCUAUAUUAAUAGAAAAAUCAAGAAAUCAUUUAUGAGUCAAACAGAACAAACACAAAGGGAAAGUUUGGGAAUUUCUGAUGUAUUGAUAUUCUCCAAAGAUGGAGUACAUAUACAAAGUAUACACAUUCCUAAUAGGAAACUAAUUACACCGUGAUAUUCUCCCCCUUAACUACAUAAUA